UACGUAGGUGGCAAGCGUUGUUCGGAUUUAUUGGGCGUAAAGGGCAUGUAGGCGGUUAUAUAAGUGUGAAUUGAAAGGCAGAGGCUCAACCUCUUGUUUGGUUUGCAAACUGUAUGACUGGAGUGUAGAAGGGGAAACUGGAAUUCCGCGUGUAGGGGUGAAAUCUGUAGAUAUGCGGAAGAAUACUUGUGGCGAAGGCGAGUUUCUGGUCUAUAACUGACGCUGAAAUGCGAAAGUGUGGGGAGCAAACAGG
rnacentral:rRNA from 1 species